rnacentral:rRNA from 1 species
UACGGGGGGAGCAAGCGUUGUUCGGAUUUACUGGGCGUAAAGAGCGCGCAGGCGGUCGAUUUAGUCGCGUGUGAAAGCCCCCGGCUCAACUGGGAGGGUCACGCGAUACUGAUCGACUCGAAGGCAGGAGAGGGUAGUGGAAUUCCCGGUGUAGUGGUGAAAUGCGUAGAUAUCGGGAGGAACACCAGUGGCGAAGGCGACUACCUGGCCUGUUCUUGACGCUGAGGCGCGAAAGCUAGGGAGCAAACGGG